GCGAGAGGGAGUUCCCACCCGUGGCUUUCUUAGAGAAAUGAAGUCUUAAGUCUUAAAUAGACAACAAGGAGGGGCCGAUCGGUGUCUUUUGGACGCGUCUGGAGCCCCUCCCUCCGCCAAAGGAAAAGCCCCUUGGAUGAGAGGCAGGCGCUUCAGAGAAGCUAAGAAAAGCACCUCUCCGCGCGCCCCACCUCCUCCGCCUCGCGCUCCUCCUGAGCAGCGGGCCCAGACUGCGCUCCGGCCGCGGCCCUCGCCCCGCGGAGCCCUCCUACCCCGGCCCGACGCUCGGCCCGCGACCUGCCCCGAGCCCUCUCCAUGGAGGCAGCCCGCCCCUCCGGCUCCUGGAACGGAGCCCUCUGCCGGCUGCUCCUGCUGACCCUCGCGAUCUUAAUAUUUGCCAGUGAUGCCUGCAAAAAUGUGACAUUACAUGUUCCCUCCAAACUAGAUGCCGAGAAACUUGUUGGUAGAGUUAACCUGAAAGAGUGCUUUACAGCUGCAAAUCUAAUUCAUUCAAGUGAUCCUGACUUCCAAAUUUUGGAGGAUGGUUCAGUCUAUACAACAAAUACUAUUCUAUUGUCCUCGGAGAAGAGAAGUUUUACCAUAUUACUUUCCAACACUGAGAACCAAG
rnacentral:lncRNA from 1 species